CCCGCUCAGAAACUUAAAGGAAUUGACGGGGGCCCGCACAAGCGGUGGAGCAUGUGGUUUAAUUCGAAGCAACGCGAAGAACCUUACCAGGCCUUGACAUGCAGAGAACUUUCCAGAGAUGGAUUGGUGCCUUCGGGAACUCUGACACAGGUGCUGCAUGGUUGUCGUCAGCUCGUGCCGUGAGGUGUCGGGUUAAGUCCCAUAACGAGCGCAACCCCUAUCAUUAGUUGCCAUCAGGUCAAGCUGGGGACUCUAAUGAAACUGCCUACGCAAGUAGUGAGGAAGGUGGGGAUGACGUCAAAUCAGCACGGCCCUUACGUCCAGGGCUACACACGUGCUACAAUGGCCGGUACAGAGCGCAGCGAGGCCGCGAGGCGGAGCGAAUCGCUUAAAGCCGGUCCCAGUACGGAUUGGAGUCUGCAACCCGACUCCAUGAAGUUGGAAUCGCUAGUAAUCGCGCAUCAGCAUGGCGCGGUGAAUACGUUCCCGGGCCUU
rnacentral:rRNA from 1 species